GAUGAACGCUGGCGGCGUGCCUAAUACAUGCAAGUCGAACGGACAGGCCCUGAUCUUGCGGGUCGCUCGUGUGGCGCAGGCGUGAGUAACACGCGUGUAACCCGUCCCUGUCAUUCGGAUAACUCCUGGAGAAUGGGGAUCUUAUAGGAUAGGAGAUCUUGAACCACGGUGGGGGUUGGUAAGUUACGGCGGUUGGGGCUGGACUCGCGGCUUAUCAGCUUGUUGGUGGGGUAGUGGCUUACCAAGGCUUUGACGGGUAGCCGGCCUGAGAGGGUGACCGGCCACAUUGGGACUGAGAUACGGCCCAGACUCCUACGGGAGGCAGCAGUGGGGAAUAUUGCGCAAUGGGCGGAAGCCUGAUGCAGCAACGCCGCGUGCGGGAUGACGGCCUUCGGGUUGUAAACCGCUUUCGCCUGUGACGAAGCGUGAGUGACGGUAAUGGGUAAAGAAGCACCGGCUAACUACGUG
rnacentral:rRNA from 1 species